rnacentral:tRNA from 1 species
AGUGUAUGUAAUUUAAUAAAAAUAUCAGGCUGUGACCUUGACAUUAGGAUAGCCCUCAUACA